UACGAAGGGGGCUAGCGUUGUUCGGAAUCACUGGGCGUAAAGCGCACGUAGGCGGAUGUGUCAGUCAGGGGUGAAAUCCCGGGGCUCAACCUCGGAACUGCCUCUGAUACAGCACGUCUUGAGUCCGGAAGAGGUGGGUGGAAUUCCUAGUGUAGAGGUGAAAUUCGUAGAUAUUAGGAAGAACACCGGUGGCGAAGGCGACCCACUGGUCCGGUACUGACGCUGAGUUGCGAAAGCGUCGGGAGCAAACAGG
rnacentral:rRNA from 1 species